rnacentral:rRNA from 1 species
AUUGAACGCUGGCGGCAGGCCUAACACAUGCAAGUCGAACGGUAACAGGAAGCAGCUUGCUGCUUUGCUGACGAGUGGCGGACGGGUGAGUAAUGUCUGGGAAACUGCCUGAUGGAGGGGGAUAACUACUGGAAACGGUAGCUAAUACCGCAUAACGUCGCAAGACCAAAGAGGGGGACCUUCGGGCCUCUUGCCAUCGGAUGUGCCCAGAUGGGAUUAGCUAGUAGGUGGGGUAACGGCUCACCUAGGCGACGAUCCCUAGCUGGUCUGAGAGGAUGACCAGUCACACUGGAACUGAGACACGGUCCAGACUCCUACGGGAGGCAGCAGUGGGGAAUAUUGCACAAUGGGCGCAAGCCUGAUGCAGCCAUGCCGCGUGUAUGAAGAAGGCCUUCGGGUUGUAAAGUACUUUCAGCGGGGAGGAAGGGAGUAAAGUUAAUACCUUUGCUCAUUGACGUUACCCGCAGAAGAAGCACCGGCUAACUCCGUG